rnacentral:rRNA from 1 species
GAUUUCCCUAGUAACGGCGAGUGAAGAGGAAGAGCUCAAAGUUGGAAACUGUUUGGCUUAGCUAAACCGUAUUGUAAACUGUAGAAACAUUUUCCUGGCACGCCGGAUUAAUAAGUCCUUUGGAACAAGGCAUCAUGGAGGGUGAGAAUCCCGUCUUUGAUCCGAGUAGUUGUCUUUUGUGAUAUGUUUUCAAAGAGUCAGGUUGUUUGGGAAUGCAGCCUAAAUUGGGUGGUAAAUCUCACCUAAAGCUAAAUAUUUGCGAGAGACCGAUAGCGAACAAGUACCGUGAGGGAAAGAUGAAAAGAACUUUGAAAAGAGAGUUAAACAGUAUGUGAAAUUGUUAAAAGGGAACCGUUUGGAGCCAGACUGGUUUGACUGUAAUCAACCUAGAAUUCGUUCUGGGUGCACUUGCAGUCUAUACCUGCCAACAACAGUUUGAUUUGGAGGAAAAAAUUAGUAGGAAUGUAGCCUCUCGAGGUGUUAUAGCCUACUAUCAUACUCUGGAUUGGACUGAGGAACGCAGCGAAUGCCAUUAGGCGAGAUUGCUGGGUGCUUUCGCUAAUAAAUGUUAGAAUUUCUGCUUCGGGUGGUGCUAAUGUUUAAAGGAGGAACACAUCUAGUAUAUUUUUUUAUUCCGCUUAGGGUUGU